rnacentral:rRNA from 1 species
AUUGAACGCUGGCGGCAUGCUUUACACAUGCAAGUCGAACGGUAGAGGGGGCAACCCCUUGAGAGUGGCGAACGGGUGAGUAAUGCAUCGGAACGUGCCCCGUCGUGGGGGAUAAAGCCGCGAAAGCUGUGCUAAUACCGCAUACUGUCUCUGGGUGCAAGCGGGGGACCGAAAGGCCUCGGGCGAUUGGAGCGGCCGCAGUCAGAUUAGGGAGUUGGUGGGGUAAAGGCUCACCAGGCCAACGAUCUGUAGCUGGUCUGAUAGGACGACCAGCCACACUAGGACUGAGACACGGCCCAGACUCCUACGAGAGGCAGCAGUGGGGAAUUUUGAACAAUGGGCGCAAGCCGUAUCCAGCAAUGCCGCGUGCAGGAAGAAGGCCUUCGGGUUGUAAACUGCUUUUGUACGGAACGAAAAGGUCUGGGUUAAUACCCUGGGCACAUGACGGUACCGUAAGAAUAAGCACCGGCUAACUACGUGCCAGCCGCCGCAGUAA